AGGGUGCCUGACGGUACUGUAGGAAUAAGCACCGGCUAACUCCGUGCCAGCAGCCGCGGUAAUACGGAGGGUGCGAGCGUUAUCCGGAUUUAUUGGGUUUAAAGGGUCCGUAGGCGGGCUAAUAAGUCAGUGGUGAAAUCCCAUCGCUUAACGAUGGAACUGCCAUUGAUACUGUUAGUCUUGAAUGAGGGUGCAGUGGUUGGAAUGUGUAGUGUAGCGGUGAAAUGCAUAGAUAUUACACA
rnacentral:rRNA from 1 species